GUCUCCAGACUAAUGCAUCAUGACACCUCGAUUACAGGAAGUGUGGAUGGCUUCUCCUGCCUCCUCUCUUCUAGCUAGGCUGUGCAUUCCGCCCGGUCCCCUCUGGCUGCUCUGCCUUGGCCGGGUUCUGCUCUCCUAAGUGCCUGCUCACCACAGCUGGACCUGCAAGGCUGGACUGCCACUGAAGCCAUCCUGAGCCUCAUGACUGUCUGAGUCCAAGUCCCUGAGCAGAACUGCUGAGUUUGGACACUCCCAGACAGAGGCAAAAUUCCUUAGCUCAUCUCCAUGCAAACAUGAUUAUUGCCAUUAAAUACACACUGUGAUACACAGUGUCUCUGCAAUGCUCCCUGAUGAGCCCAUGCACCAAACCUAACAGCUCCUGCUGUAGCCAAACACUGAGCUCGGCUGUGGAGGCGCCACUGCGAACUCGGCUCCCACCACUGAUGAGUGGUCUGUGAAGCAGCCUAAUGAUUUUCUAGGGGUCUGAGAUCGUGGUAACACCACGAGAGUCGCACAAAAAAAGAGAGAUCUCCUUCCCUUCCCUCCCACUCCCUGCAAGGCUCAUUUUGCAAACUGCAGCUGCCGAAAAUGGAAAGCCAGCUAGAGCAGCACCCCUCCGGCGGGGUUAUGGAACUGGGAUGCUGCAACAGAAAUCUGCAGGUGGAGGAUGAACAUGCUGGGCUUCCAAAGCACCGUGUUUCGGUGGACUUACUCUCCCAUUUGUGAGACAAUAGACUGAGGAGCUGGUGGCACCACUGCUACCUGGAUAUGGUGACAAUGCCCUGUCUCCUGCCAGCACCACCGGGGACAUGCGUGGCCACAUCCUGCUGGUGCAGCUGGUGGCUGCCACCCUGCAGCACUCUGUGUCUGUCCCCAGGCUUGGCUCAAGACCAGAAGCCUGCAAUUAAACUAGAAGAUACUUCAUGACAAUGAACCCUCAUCCUGGUGGCCACGUGGCUCAAGGCUUCCAUGGGCAACAUCCUCCAUUGCAAGGUCUGGUCCUAAUCACCAUGAGCAGGACUCUGAAAGGAGAGAGAAUCUUGAUGGAAAGAAGCACAUUUGUUCCCAGGACAGCUUCUGGACAUAAAGCUUUUCCCUCCUGUAACUGUACAAUCCACGGGAAAAGAGGUAAAAGACUUGUUACUGACUGUGCUAAUGCCACUGAGAUGUUCAACAUGAAUGUAAGUUGUCUUCAAUCUGAAUCUUUGUUGCAGCUGCUGUCAACACCACAAGUGAAGAUCCCAAAAUAUAAAGCAUUUUGAACUCACUCUUUUCAUUUCCUUUUCAUUAUACGAGGACGAUACUGCCUUAUCUCAAAGACACACUUGCAUAUUUGCACUCUAUAAUGGAGAAACAGCACUACAUACAGGUCCCUAAAAGUAAACACCAAACUCUGUAAAUCUUGCAUAUAAUUAGGAAAUUUCUUCUGGAUUUAUUAUUUUUCCCCAAAGCUGUUACUGCUUGAUUUGGCUGUCAUCUGUGUCACUUCUAUGGAAAGAUUUUCUGUGUUAGAAAGGGAAAAUCAGAGCAGCAAGCUAAUAACUUGUUACAACAGAGAGAUUUAAGGAAGAAAAUAAUGAAGCCGAGCUGCUGACAGCACUGUGGUGGCUGUACCUCCUCUUUAAGUGGAAUCAGCCAGGAUUACCCUUUGUUUUAGAGGGCCCCUCUUAGAAAGAAACCUUGGACCGGAUGGACACAAACAUCCUUCAGACUGCAAAGAAAACAGCUUCCCCCAUAAAUAUCCCCAGCCCAACACCAACAAAACAAAUUUGGUCUCAACUUUAUAACUUUGAUUUAAUUUCCUAGUAUAUUAAUUUUGGCCAUUCAAUCUCACUGAUCUGUUUAGUCCAUCUCAACUGUGACCUUGAUUCGAUUGCUUAAUUGGCUUAGCAAAGCCUGGAUGCGUCAGCUCUGUAACGCGCUUGCUUAUUCUUUCUUGUAAGAUCUAUGAAAAUAAGCAGAACUUAUUUGACAUUAAAUGGCAGUCAAGCUUAGAAAUCCCAGGCCAAAGAUAAUCUCAGGUAUAUGGAGGGCACUCUCUAGUCCUAGUUCGAUCUUGCCUUGUUCAGAUCUGGCAACGUUUGAAUGUUGACAUGUGCCCUUCAGUACAACUUUCUAGUUUGAGAUCACUGUCCAGUAACAGCUUGGCUGAGGCAUGAGCGCUCAUUUUUUUCUCAGAUGACUGCUGUGGGGGUUGUUUCUGCUGGUAGAAGCAGAGUAUGGAGCAGCUGGUGGCAAUACCUUCUGCAGAGACAGUAAAACUUUCUCAUAUGCUUCACUAUCAUCAUUAUACCUGACUGAACCCAAUCUCUGCUGCUGAUUUUAAGCUUGCUGAUGCAAUGCAAUGGCAUUUCUGAAUUUGCUUCAUUUGCAUUUAAACAAUCAAGAGUUUUAAUUAAAAUGCAUAAAUGAAUCAUGCACUAGAAGCCCUAUCUCCCAUGUUAUUUAUUUUUUAUAUUAAACCUUCAGUUUGAUGGAUAAGCACUGCCAUUGGUCAUUUCUGCUAAAAUGAUCCCAUCAGCAGUGAAAUAUUUGACAAAUCUGAUGUUAAAUUUUUCAUCCCUAGCUUUCAGCACUUGUGGUCCAUUGAGAUAAAUAGUACGUCUCACACUUUUCAUCUAUUCUUUGAAGCUCUCUGGGACCAGCACUUCAUUAAAGAGGGAGAGGUAUAGGUCAAAGGAUUGUUUGACAUCCAAACAGUGCUCUCCUUAUGGUUUUUUUAUAUGGCCUGGCACAUCCACAGUGGUGAGAGUGUCCUUCUUCAGUGUCUUACGUUUGUGACAACUAUCGCUUCUUUCUCUAUAGUGACAGAAUUUUGGGUUUUGGUACUGACCUGUUGAUGAAACAGAAAGCAAUGUGGACUUUCUCCUAAGUAAAACCCAUUUUCUUAGUGCUUUUUAAAAAUUAUUAUUUUUACCCUGUGACAGUGGUAUCUGCAGUCAUCACAGAAGUUCCUGCUACUUCCAGAACGCAGACUUUGCAGCAUGGUACUGAAAUUCAACUCCAAGGAAAGUAAUUUGUCCCAAGAACUGCAUCCUAUAGAGAAUAAGGCAGAAAACACACUCUGCUGGUAGCUUCUCUCAGAGGAUUACUGUAAAACUAAGCUAAUAACAAUGCAACAUUCCUUCAAAAACUGAAAUCUUGCUCACAUGCUAAGAAGCUCUAAGAGUAACAGCAUCAUCUGGUGGCUUCUGCCACAAAGAAUGGAUUAAUUGAUUUUUUUUUUUUUGGUUCUACUUUCAUUUAAAUUCCUCAUCUCUCAGGUGAGGCCAGGUCCUGAAGGAAUGUGUGAGAGGAAAAACAGACGGAAAAGGAUAAAAAUGAGAGGAGGUAAUAAUGAAAUCCUCAGCUAUACUGAAACAUUAAACUGCAUCUGAAUAUCUCAGAUCUUUUUAAAAGGAUUUUUUAAAGAACAUUGAAAAACACCAUCCUCAUUGAAGUCAAGCUUCAUUUACAGCAAUGCCAGAUGGGUUGGGAUUUUCGAAGCAUGCAUUAAGAACAGGAACAAUGCUGCUAAAGGCCUUGAACCUCAGAUAAGGAUUGGUGUAAACCUCCACAAAAUCUUAAGACAAUUCCUUUUCAUCAUUUCUUUUGUAAGUGCCAGAUCAAAUCCUUCAAACUCCUCCUGCAUCUUCCUUUCGGAAUUCUUAUUAAUGAUCCUCUUAACACUUGGAGAGGUGGUAUGUAAAAAUGAGAUGAACAUACAUUAGUUUUCAAAAGAGUUUCUGCUGUGAACAAGUGCUAUUGUGAUUAUGACUGUAAAACAAGCUAAUCCACCAAAGCUUACAUCUAUGGUUAGUGUAGUACUGUAGGCUGAAUCAGCCUGCCUGAGGUAUUAAAACUCCUCGACCUUAAUGGGCUGAAGUAUUCCCAGAAAUGUCCAAGGUCCCUUGUAAGAAGUUUACCACAACCCAGAUGAAGCAUAAGGGCCAUACUAGCCCACAGAACCCAAAGUCUCCAGGAUUAGUUGUUGCAAAAGCUUAUUAACAAGGCAAUAAAAUGAAAAUUAUUCCUUCUGGCUUUAUUGGUGCACAAUGUCUGUUUUACAUUCAUACAGUUUCUGUCCUAUCCUUGGCAGUUGUCUUCUUUGUUGUAUUCUUACAAAGAGAGAAAUAUCAAAACAUUAAUUUAAGCUGUCACAAUGCAAAGGGCUGACAGUCAUAUAAAGAAUUAUCAUUGUGGCAGAGAAUGGAGACAAGUUAGUGAAGGAAAAUUAAAGUGACUAGCUAAACAGAACCAAACUUCUUGAAAAAUCUAGGAUAUUGCCAUGACAAUUCGAAUCACUCCAACUUUUUCUUUUUGUGUUUUCAGCACUUUCCUACACAGUCUAUUAUCAAUCUGAUGGGGAAAAGAAAGAAAAAGAAAUCACUUCGCACAUAGUCUAGUUUCAGUGAAAUAUGUAUUUCAAAAGAGAAGAUUCAUCCUGUACCAGUUUGUGCAAUAAGAUAAAUUGCAACUAACAUCAAUCUUUGUAAUUUUCCAUAAUUGUAGAAGUCAGACUGACCAAGAUUAUAGCCUGUCUAAUCUUUUUUGCUAAUGCAUACGAUAUAGAAAUGUUUCUUUGUCCUCUCCAGGUCUUUUUUGCAAAACAAAAAUUAUUCCUUUCCAGCAAACAAUAAGAUUCCUGCAGGUGGUGGCUUGGGGUCUCAAAUUGCUUUGCAUAUUCUUAAGAAUAAU